rnacentral:rRNA from 1 species
UACGUAGGGUGCAAGCGUUGUCCGGAAUUAUUGGGCGUAAAGAGCUCGUAGGCGGUUUGUUGCGUCGGCUGUGAAAUCCCGAGGCUCAACCUCGGGUCUGCAGUCGAUACGAGCAAACUAGAGUGUUGCAGGGGAGACUGGAAUUCCUGGUGUAGCGGUGAAAUGCGCAGACUAUCAGGAGGAACACCGGUGGCGAAGGCGGGUCUCUGGGCAACAACUGA